GACAGAGGCCUCGAGCGUUAGGCGGAAUCACUGGGCUUAAAGCGUGUGUAGGCGGGCCCGUAAGUGUCUUGUGAAAUCCCACGGCUCAACCGUGGAACUGCUGGGCAUACUGCGGGUCUUGGGCCAACUAGGGGCAGCCGGAACAAGCGGUGGAGCGGUGAAAUGCGUAGAUAUCGUCUGGAACGCCAAAGGUGAAAACAGUCUGCUGGGGGUGUGCCGACGCUGAGACACGAAAGCCAGGGGAGCGAACGGG
rnacentral:rRNA from 1 species